CGGAGACUGUCUGGCUCACACGGUUGCUUGGAUACAGUAUGGAGCCGCGUGCGGGGGGGAGCCCCAAAACCGGGACAGACGUUACCAGAGUCUGUAUAUACAGGGAAAGUCCAUCCUGCUGUCUAGUAGCCAGUUUUAAUGAUGAUUGUCUGAAGAUUCAUCAGAAAAGACUGAAAGAGCAAGCAGUCCAUUACUGGCUAUUCAUCAAGCUUUCCUAAGAAUUUUGCCUCAGCUUUUCACAAUUUCCCUAUAAUACAGGCUGCUAUAAACUGCACUUGAAAGCUGCAGGAAAUGGUUGGAAAUCGGAAACCCAGUCACUGCACUAUACUCUAUAGAGAUUGAAUAUGAUAGUAACAGUAUAUGAAGUUGCUUAAUCCAGAGAAAAACUAGUUACUGUUCACUGUGCCACAGACGAUUUGUGCUUAUUUUGAUGCUUAGACACAAGGAAUGACAGAUAAAAAAAACCCAGGCUGUUGUCACAUGCAUGGAGAGGCGCUCCUUGAGGGAUGGAUUGAGAAACACAGCUCUAAUUUUCUCCAGUCUCCCUGUCUGCUGUUCACAACAAUAUGCAGUUUGAUAAAAUGCAGACAUGUUGCAGCUCUCCAAAGGAUAGAAGCAAUGACAUGUGAGCAGAAGUGUUGCAGCUCUCCGAGAAGUAGAGGAAAUUACACAUCGAUUUCUGAUUUGCCCCCAAACUAUAAACCAGUAACUCC